rnacentral:rRNA from 1 species
AGAGUUUGAUCAUGGCUCAGAGUGAACGCUGGCGGCAGGCCUAAUACAUGCAAGUCGAACGGCAGCACGGCAGAGCUUGCUCUGUGGGUGGCGAGUGGCGGACGGGUGAGGAAUACAUGGGAAUCUGCCCAGUCGUGGGGAUAACGUAGGGAAACUUACGCUAAUACCGCAUGCGCCCUUCGGGGGAAAGCCGGGGACCUUCGGGCCUGGCGCGAUUGGAUGAGCCCAUGUCGGAUUAGCUAGUUGGCGGGGUAAUGGCCCACCAAGGCGACGAUCCGUAGCUGGUCUGAGAGGGUGAUCAGCCACACUGGAACUGAGACACGGUCCAGACUCCUACGGGAGGCAGCAGUAGGGAAUAUUGGACAAUGGGCGCAAGCCUGAUCCAGCCAUGCCGCGUGAGUGAAGAAGGCCCUCGGGUUGUAAAGCUCUUUUGUCCGGAAAGAAAAGCGCCGGGUUAAUACCCUGGUGUCCUGACGGUACCGGCAGAAUAAGCACCGGCUAACUUCGUG